AUUGAACGCUGGCGGCAGGCCUACCACAUGCAAGUCGAACGAGUGGCGGACGGGUGAGUAAUGUCUGGGAAACUGCCCGAUGGAGGGGGAUAACUACUGGAAACGGUAGCUAAUACCGCAUACCAUCGGAUGUGCCCAGUUGGGAUUAGCUAGUAGGUGGGGUAACGGCUCACCUAGGCGCCGAUCCCUAGCUGGUCUGAGAGGAUGACCAGACACACGGGAACUGAGACACGGUCCAGACGCCUACGGGAGUCAGUAGUGGGGAAUAUUGCACAAUGGGCGCAAGCCUGAUGCAGCCAUGCCGCGUGUAUGAAGAAGGCCUUCGGGUUGUAAAGUACUUUCAGCGAGGAGGCGUUAAUCGCAGAAGAAGCACCGGCUAACUCCGUGCCAGCAGCCGCGGUAAUUC
rnacentral:rRNA from 1 species